rnacentral:rRNA from 1 species
GUCCACGCCCUAAACGAUGAGGACUAGAUGUCGGAAGGGUCUGCCUUUCGGUGUCGCAGCUAACGCGUUAAGUCCUCCGCCUGGGGAGUACGGCCGCAAGGUUGAAACUCAAAGGAAUUGACGGGACCCGCACAAGCGGUGGAGCAUGUGGUUUAAUUCGAUGCAACGCGCAGAACCUUACCUGGUCUUGACAUCCUCGGAAUCCUGCAGAAAUGCGGGAGUGCCUUCGGGAACCGAGAGACAGGUGCUGCAUGGCUGUCGU